rnacentral:rRNA from 1 species
AACCUGCCCUUGGGAGGGGAACAACAGCUGGAAACGGCUGCUAAUACCCCAUAGGCUGAGGAGCAAAAGGAGGAAUCCGCCCAAGGAGGGGCUCGCGUCUGAUUAGUUAGUUGGUGAGGCAAUGGCUUACCAAGGCGACGAUCAGUAGCUGGUCCGAGAGGAUGAUCAGCCACACUGGGACUGAGACACGGCCCAGACUCCUACGGGAGGCAGCAGUGGGGAAUUUUCCGCAAUGGGCGAAAGCCUGACGGAGCAAUGCCGCGUGAAGGCAGAAGGCCCACGGGUCAUGAACUUCUUUUCUCGGAGAAGAAAAAAUGACGGUAUCUGAGGAAUAAGCAUCGGCUAACUCUGUGCCAGCAGCCGCGGUAAGACAGAGGAUGCAAGCGUUAUCCGGAAUGAUUGGGCGUAAAGCGUCUGUAGGUGGCUUUUCAAGUCCGCCGUCAAAUCCCAGGGCUCAACCCUGGACAGGCGGUGGAAACUACCAAGCUGGAGUAC